CUUACAAAGGCAAUGACAAAAAGAUAAAUCGAUGAAUUGAGAAGAUUUUGCUAUUUACCUUCUAUUAUCUUACCUUCUAUUAAAGGCAGCCACCGACUAAUAUUUCAUUAUCCAAAAUCUCAAAGAUCACUCGAUAAGCAAAAGAAACAAAUAUACAUAAAUUUAUUCAUGUUCUUCGUUUAAUUCGCCGAAUGAGCGAGAAAAUCUCGUUACUACUGUGUGCUGCUGAUCUUCUGAACAAUCUGUAGCGUCCAUGCUUCUGAGAAAUUUGCUGAACCAAAACAUCAAAUUGAAAAACUGAAAUUAUACUAAAAAUUACGGAUGAGUUUUAAUUUAAUAGUGCUAGAGCUAUUUACGGAACUGUAAUAUUAUUAAUUCAACCACUUACCUGAAAAUGGAAAGUGGGAUUUGGACCUUUAGAUAGUAUUGAGAGGCCAUCACGAGCAGGCAGUGCUGAAGGAGAAUCAGAGCCCUCAUUCUGAAUGGAAAAUGAAUUCCUACCCAAAGAUGGUUUUUGAGUGCAGAAGAAAAGUGGCAAGUCCUCUGCUUCAAAUCCAUGUUUAGCUAUGAUCAUUGGAGUAGCCGGAGAAUUGGGGUUUCUGCAGAGGAUAAAAAGGUUUCAUAAACAUGUAGUUUCUUCUUUUGCCUGAUAAUGAGUAUAAUUGGACAUGUCUCAUUCAGAAAAGCUCAUGAAAUAUAUAGAGGAGAUUAAUGCUUCUACACCUUUCAUCUUCAGUUGACUUGUCAAUAUCAACAUUUGUGAUUGCUGAUAAAGAGAGAACAAAUUUUGAACCUUGUCAAGCGGAUAUUGUGGAAAAUAAAAGGGAGUAAAAAGAAAGUUAAAUCUGCACCCCAACAACAAAUAUUUGUUCUUAUUGUACAGUAGAAAAAUGGGAAUUUGGAGUAUUUACGUGCUGAUAAGUAGCGGCGAUGAAACUUCGGCAAAUUUGCACUCCAUCUUACUCGUUUUAGAGCAAGCUUUUGAGCAUAUUGUUCACAUGAAAGAAGCCUCUACAAGAAAAUUAGCUAAUAUCACAUGUUUUUAUGGUACAAAGAUGUUGCAAUAUUAGCAAUUGAAGUAAUGAGUUUUAGCUUAGUGGACUCGAGUUGCUAAGGGAUUUCGAGUUUGAGCCUAAGAGCCAAAUGAACCAAAGAACAAAGGGAAAGUUGGCAGUUCAGAUGCAUGAUACUGACUUGAUUAAGGCUAUUAAUUCUAAGUUCAGCCUCAGAAAAUUCAUUGUUCUUGGAAAUGCUGUUAUCUAGAUUAGCAGAGACGCAUCCAAGAUGAUCAACAACAGCAACUACAGCUCUGCAUAUGUAAUCUUUUGUGCUUUCCACAACCCUGCAAACUAUAGUUAUUGAUGAAGGAGGACACAAAAAUUUAUAUUACAAUCUCAAUAAACCAAGCAGAGAGGACUUACAUUCUUUUCUCUUUGGCAUUCAAGAAUGUUGCUUCACAGUAAUCUGCUGCAUAAUGCAGCUGCGAACGCAAGUCUCUAAGUUCCUAUAAACCCAGAAAGAACAUUCAGAUGAACUGAAUGAGUACAAGAAAAAACUAGGUAGCAUUCAAAAAAAAGAAUAACAUAAAAACCAAAGAAUAACAUAAAAAACAAGGGGCAUAGAUAAGGACUUGAAGGGACUUGUCGAAAGGCAGAACGCUUUCGGAUUCACUUUCUGAUGUUUUACAGGCAGAUGUUUUGGAGAGAUGCAUUUCUCUUUUUCUCUUGGUUUUCAGAAAAUGAAUGCAAAGAUGAGUUACUAGUUAGCUCUUCUUAUCUUUUUUCUUUUUCUUGUUCUCUCUUAAUUAUAAACCAGUGGUAGAUUGAGGGAUGUCUAUGUCUGUAUAUAGAAACAGAAUGACAGAAUGAGGAGUAUGGGCAACUGGAGCCUCGGG
rnacentral:misc_RNA from 1 species